ACGCUGGCGGAUGUUUACACCUGCAAGUCUGAACGGCAGCACGGACUUCGGUCUGGUGGCGAGUGGCGAACGGGUGAGUAAUAUAUCGGAACGUGCCCAGUCGUGGGGGAUAACGUAGUGAAAAUUACGCUAAUACCGCAUACGAUCUACGGAUGAAAGCGGGGUGAUCGCAAGACCUCGCGCGAUUGGAGCGGCCGAUAUCAGAUUAGGUAGUUGGUGAGGUAAAGGCUCACCAAGCCAACGAUCUGUAGCUGGUCUGAGAGGACGACCAGCCACACUGGAACUGAGACACGGUCCAGACUCCUUAACGGGGGAAGGGCAGCAAGUGGGGAACUUUUGGACAAUGGACGCAAGUCUGAUCCAUGGCGCACUUCCGCGUGCAGGACCGAAGGCCUUCGGGAUUGUAAACUGCUUUUGUACAGAACGAACAAGGUCUCUAUUAAUACUAGGGGCUCAUGACGGUACUGUAAGAAUAAGCACCGGC
rnacentral:rRNA from 1 species